ACGAGGCAUCAACCGAGAAAGCACUAUCCAAGGCCACCACACACCAACCGUCCAAAAGGGACUUCGAUAUGGAAUAAUCUUAUUUAUUGUCUCAGAAGUCCUCUUUUUUACCCACUUCUUUUGAGCCUUC